CCUUAGCCGCCGCACCCCCAAACCACGCAGGCAGUUGAAACAGCGACGUCGGCCACUCCCUCUCGCUCGAUCCACACCGCCACGGCGCCACCUGCUGCACACCGGCGUCCCUAGCAGCCCAGCUACGCGGACGGUGACGGGCUGACGGCGCGGCUCCGGGAGGGCGCGCUCUCCUGCUGCACACCGUCGACUGUCGUAGGCGCGGCUCAGGGAGUGGGCGCGCCGCGCGCGUGGUUCCAGCGUUCCAGGGCGCCCGGGGACGGGAGCCGCGAGUGCGGUAGGCCAGGACCGCACUGCGGCGCGCGGUAGGUGCAGCCUGUACCUGAGUGGCCGAGCUGCGCCAUCGCUUCACCGCCCUCAGCGCCUUGGGUGGGUGCCAGAAGCGAAAUGGGUGGACUCCGCCACACCUGGUUGGAGGCACGCAAGGUGUUCGUAAGAAUGCUUAGCAGUGGAGGCGCGGCCAGCGUUAGUGGCGAGGUUCUGGUGGAUGCAUUAGUCCCAGCCAAGCGCCUCUGCAAGCUCAUCAUCUCCUGCCGGAAGGCCUCGGCUCUGGAGCACGAGCUCGACCACAGCGGCUUCCGCGUCACACCGGAGGUCGCGGAGCGUGUCUUGGAGCGCCUUGACAAUGCUGGCAUGCUUGCGUACCGCUUCUUUGAAUGGGCACGGAGGCAGAAGCGCGGUGGGUGCGCGCACACCGUGCGCUCCUUCCACACGGUGGUCGCGUCCCUCGCCAAGAUCAGGCAGUACCAGCUCAUGUGGGACGUCGUGGCCAUCAUGCGCAAGGAGGGCGUGGCCAAUGUCGAGACGUUCUGCAUCAUCAUGCGCAAAUAUGCCCGGGCACAGAAGUUCGAUGAGGCUGUUUACACGUUCAAUGUCAUGGAGAAGUACGGUGUUGCCCCCAACCUCGCUGCCUUCAACAGCUUGCUUUGUGCGCUGUGCAAAUCUAAGAAUGUGCGCAAGGCCCAGGAGAUCUUUGACAAGAUGAAUAAUCGGUUCACUCCUGAUGCCAAGACCUAUAGCAUCUUGCUUGAGGGCUGGGGGAGAGCACCAAACCUCCCAAAGAUGCGGGAGGUCUACAAUGAGAUGCUUGAAUCUGGUUGCCAACCUGACAUCGUCACAUAUGGUAUCAUGGUUGAUGCACUCUGCAAGGCGGGCAGGAUUGAGGAGGCUGUCCUUGUUGUGCAUGACAUGAGCUCCAGGGGAUGCCAACCGACGACCUUCAUAUACAGUGUCUUAGUGCAUACGUAUGGAGUUGAGAUGAGGAUCGAGGAUGCUGUUGCAACAUUUUUGGAUAUGGAGAAGGAUGGAAUUGUGCCUGAUGUUGUUGUGUACAACGCGCUCGUCACUGCCUUCUGCAAAGUGAAGAAGUUUGACAAUGCCUUUCGAGUCAUGGAUGACAUGGAAGGCCAUGGAAUCACACCGAAUUCAAGGACCUGGAACAUCAUCCUAAAUACUCUGAUUAGCCAUGGGAAGGAUGAUGAGGCAUACAGGGUCUUCCGCAGCAUGAUUAAACGCUGCCAACCGGACUCUGAUACUUACACCAUGAUGAUAAAGAUGUUCUGUGAGAAUGAUAAAAUAGAGAUGGCACUGAAGGUAUGGAAGUACAUGAGGUUGAAGCAGUUUCUUCCAAGCAUGCACACAUUCUCCGUGCUGAUCAAUGGUCUGUGUGACAAGGGUGAGGUUAGCCAAGCUUGUGUCCUGCUUGAAGAUAUGAUAGAGAAGGGCAUUAGACCUCCUGGUUCGACAUUUGGCAAGCUGAGGCAGCUGCUUUUGAAAGAAGGAAGGAAGGAUGUGCUUGACUUUCUUGUUGAGAAAAUGAAGAUCCUCAUUCAAGAACCUUUGUUUGAUUGAUCGAUCCUGAUCCUUCGCUUCUCCAGUGGGUUCAUGCUUUUAAUGUGCCACUCCAGCUGUUCAGCCUAUGCGGUUACUGUUUAGGUUUUAUGGAUAAAUGUUCCCAGUUGAAGUUGAAGGAUCACAGGAUUCCCAUCCAAGCUCUGGCCUUGUUAUUGACAUCUCACUCAAUCAUUACAAUCAAACAACUCAUGCCUAAAUUAGCUCACUGGCAACUUGUUGCAUUGUAAGACAGAGACUUGAGUCCUCUAAAAGAGAUGAAUUCCAUGUGAUCCAUGGAUCAAGAGGACUUGUUAGGUGCAAGAAUCCUGCAAGAACCGGUGUCAGCCACAAGUGUCCAUUUUCUGAACUAGAGAGCUUGUGACAACUUGUUCAGGCACAAGUCACUGCUACCUCUAAAUUGGUACUAGUCUGAGCACUUGGUCCAUGGAAAGGGGCAUCGUGUUGCUCGAGUAUUUAAAAUGAUGGAUGGAGUUGCUCUUACAAGCAAUACAAGCAUACAACUAGCUCCAUGUUGUUGAAGUUGCUGCUUCCCUUAAAAAAUGAGACCUUCUCUAGAAAGCUGUGGAUUGCAUGUUUGGCGUUCCUGUGCAGAUAAGAAAGGAGGAAUUGAUGGUCAAACUUUCAUUUUAGAGAUCAUUCCAGUGUCCAAAACAAUGUGGCAUUUUGUUUCUGUUGCGGUGCAGUUGGGCCAAUUUGGGUGAAAUAAUUUCACACUGAUAUGGACGAAUUGCAGAAUUCUUGUGAAAUUCAUGUGCAUUGGGGGUGUGAACUACUGGUAUCUCCCCCUCGCCAUGGCUUCUCUGUUGCAAGAUCACAAGAUUAUUUGCUUUUAGGGUAUUGAUUUUAUUCUUGCUUAAACUGUUGACUCUCUGGAAUCCUUUGGUUGAGCCAUGAUAAAUAAGAGUAUCUUCUGAAGCCAUUUACCCAUCU